rnacentral:rRNA from 1 species
UACGAAGGGGGCUAGCGUUGCUCGGAAUCACUGGGCGUAAAGCGCACGUAGGCGGCUUCUUAAGUCAGGGGCUGAAAUCCUGGAGCUCAACUCCAGAACUGCCUUUGAUACUGAGGAGCUCGAGUCCGGGAGAGGUGAGUGGAACUGCGAGUGUAGAGGUGAAAUUCGUAGAUAUUCGCAAGAACACCAGUGGCGAAGGCGGCUCACUGGCCCGGUACUGACGCUGAGGUGCGAAAGCGUGGGGAGCAACAGGG